GACGAACGCUGGCGGCGUGCCUAAUACAUGCAAGUAGAACGCACAGUUUAUACCGUAGCUUGCUACACCAUAGACUGUGAGUUGCGAACGGGUGAGUAACGCGUAGGUAACCUGCCUGGUAGCGGGGGAUAACUAUUGGAAACGAUAGCUAAUACCGCAUAAUAUUAAUUAUUGCAUGAUAAUUAAUUGAAAGGUGCAAUUGCACCACUACCAGAUGGACCUGCGUUGUAUUAGCUAGUAGGUGAGGUAACGGCUCACCUAGGCGACGAUACAUAGCCGACCUGAGAGGGUGAUCGGCCACACUGGGACUGAGACACGGCCCAGACUCCUACGGGAGGCAGCAGUAGGGAAUCUUCGGCAAUGGACGAAAGUCUGACCGAGCAACGCCGCGUGAGUGAAGAAGGGUGUCGGAUCGUAAAGCUCUGUUGUAAGAGAAGAACGGGUGUGAGAGUGGAAAGUUCACACUGUGACGGUAUCUUACCAGAAAGGGACGGCUAACUACGUG
rnacentral:rRNA from 1 species